GCUAAAAUAGUUUAAAAAAAAUAUUAAUUUUGUAAAUUAAAGUUGAAUUUCUUUUAGUA
rnacentral:tRNA from 1 species